CAAGCUUAGUACAUAACACAUCCCAACCCCGUGGGUCCUGUGCCACCCGGGGAAGGAGAGACCCAGCCAUUUUCUCUGAUGAGGAAAAACAUAGUGUUCUAACAGUGUGAGUCUGUGGGUGGUAUCCAACUAAAUAAUUGCACUCAGGCAAGAAUCGCUGCUGGUGCAAUGGGACUUUCUUUGCUCUCCACCCCUAUGCAGACCACCACCUUAUCUGCUCCAGAAAGUUGGGGGAACCCCCAGAACAGAUUUAGGGGGCAGGUGGUGGGAGGAGAGGGGGAGAACAUCCCACUGCACAUGGAGAAAUCCUUGUGCUGAUGGCACCCUAGCCUUCACCUGUGGUUUAGUGGUUAGAGUGUCAGACCAAGACUUGGGAGAUCAGGGUUUAAAUUAACCAUGAAGCUCACCGGCUAGUCAUGGUCUCCCAGCUUAACCUACCUCACAGAGUUGUUGUGAGGAUAAAAUAGGGGGAACCACAUACACCACCUUGAGUUCCAUAGAGUAAAAGGUGUGAUGGAGAGACUGACUGGCUGAAAUGUCCCCAAACCCUGAGGUUUAAUUCAAACCCCUUCUGUAGCCCCUAUACCUGACUCCUCCACAAAACCCUUUCUCAAUCUCCUUUGUCCAUGUGCUCUGCUUGUGUUUUGUACCAGCCCAGCCUUUCCCAGCCUGGUGCCCUGCAGAUAUUUUGGACCACACCAUCCAUCAGCUCCAGCAAACCAUGCUGAUUGGGAAUGAUGGGAGCUGUAGUCCAAAAUAUCUAUCUGGAGGGCACCAGGUUGAGGAGGUCUGUAUUGGCAUGAAGCAAGGCUGGGAGAUAAGAAUAACAGAAUGCUUCAUAUCUGUUUGCCCUGAUGCUUUCAUUGAUACCCAAUGAGGUCAUUUUGUGAGGCUUUACAAAAUAGAUCACCUUGCCCUUUGCAGGGCAAAAUCAUCUUGAGGUCGUUUCCCCACCCCACAUUAUUCAGCAGCCUAAGCCAUCAUCAGUAACCUUCUAAAUAGAGCAGUGACAAACUGCUUUGACAGAAUGACAUUUCCGACAGAUGGCAACAUCAUGCUAAUUCUACUUGGAACAUCUUUCCUCCUCUGAGAGCAUUCCAAAAUUUAGGUGCAUAUUAAAAGACCACAGUUUGCAAAGUGUUGCUGAACAUUCCAAUAAUACGCAGUUUAAGCAUUUUUUAAAAAGAGAAAAGAACACAGCCUCCAGGGAACUUGCCGUCAUCUGUCAAAAUGCAAAGGGAGGUGGGGGAGGGAGGAGCUUUGUUGACUUGUUUGUGAUUUGAUUUCUUAGAUGGAGUCUGCGGGGUAAAGGCACUCAUCAGCUGCACCAAACAGUGAUUCUCAGCUGAAUGCAAUGUGUUGGAGAUCUGUGUUUACAGUGAAUAAUGCAGUCCACCAGUUACCAUGAGCACAAUUAAAAAUAUGCAUGCACACAUAAACAAACAGGUACAAGGG